rnacentral:rRNA from 1 species
UACGUCGGGGGCUAGCGUUGCUCGGAAUUACUGUGCGUAGAGCGCACGUAGGCGGCUUUCUAAGUCGGGGGUGAAAUCCUGGAGCUCAACUCCAGAACUGCCUUCGAUACUGGAGAGCUCGAGUCCGGGAGAGGUGAGUGGAACUGCGAGUGUAGAGGUGAAAUUCGUAGAUAUUCGCAAGAACACCAGUGGCGAAGGCGGCUCACUGGCCCGGUACUGACGCUGAGGUGCGAAAGCGUGGGGAGCAAACAGG